AACGAACGCUGGCGGCAGGCUUAACACAUGCAAGUCGAACGCCCCGCAAGGGGAGUGGCAGACGGGUGAGUAACGCGUGGGAAUCUACCCAGAUCUACGGAACAACAGUUGGAAACGACUGCUAAUACCGUAUACGCCCUACGGGGGAAAGAUUUGUCGGAUUUGGAUGAGCCCGCGUUGGAUUAGCUAGUUGGUUGGGUAAUGGCCUACCAAGGCGACGAUCCAUAGCGGGUCUGAGAGGAUGAUCAGCCACACUGGGACUGAUGCACGGCACAGACUCCUACGGGAGGAAGCAGUGGAGAAUAUUGGAAAUUGGGCGCAAGCCUGUUCCAACCAUGCCACGUGAGUGAUGAAGGCCUUAGGGUUGUAAAGCUCUUUCACCGAUGAAGAUAAAUGCGGUAGUCGGAGAAGAAGCCCCGGCUAACAUCGUGGCUGCAGCCGCGGUAACAC
rnacentral:rRNA from 1 species